CUCUGUGACUCCUACGGGAGGCAGCAGUGGGGAAUAUUGCACAAUGGGGGAAACCCUGAUGCAGCCAUGCCGCGUGUGUGAAGAAGGCCUUCGGGUUGUAAAGCACUUUCAGUAGGGAGGAAGGUAGUGUAGUUAACACCUGCAUUAUUUGACGUUACCUACAGAAGAAGCACCGGCUAACUCCGUGCCAGCAGCCGCGGUAAUACGGAGGGUGCGAGCGUUAAUCGGAAUUACUGGGCGUAAAGCGCAUGCAGGCGGCCUGUUAAGUCAGAUGUGAAAGCCCGGGGCUUAACCUCGGAAUUGCAUUUGAAACUGGCAGGCUAGAGUCUUGUAGAGGGGGUAGAAUUUCAGGUGUAGCGGUGAAAUGCGUAGAGAUCUGAAGGAAUACCAGUGGCGAAGGCGGCCCCCUGGACAAAGACUGACGCUCAGAUGCGAAAGCGUGGGGAGCAAACAGGUUUAGAUACCCUGGUAG
rnacentral:rRNA from 1 species